rnacentral:lncRNA from 1 species
AUGCACUUUUACAAGAGACAUCAUGCUCCCCCACCCUCAAAUGGCUUUGGUUUGGUGCCCGGAACAUCUGGUCACCCUAUAGCCUUUUUUUUAUCCAGUAGAUUCAUUUUCUCAGCACACUGCCGACUGCCAACAGAUGAGCUGCAACUGCUGGCACCGGGGAGCCAGCGAGACAUCAGCAUGCAAGAAGUAUUGCCAAUUCUUUUAUCAUCACCAGUUUGUAGAAACAAGGAGCUGUCUUCCUUUAAAAGAAAACAGACAGACCACCCCAGUGUCAGCCCAGCCUUCAAAGGGGCCUUUUUGCUGGAGGAAACCAAGGACAGGUCCAGCCUGAGCCACCCCUACACUGCGGACAAGUCCCCAUUGCACUGGCUGUGUGACCUGCACCCAUCAGGAUGCUCUCAGGGCAGGACAGUGCCAUGCUAGGAUGCUGCUGCUUAGCAAUAAUGUGGUAGCUGCCAGCACCUCAAGGUGAGUUACCAGCAGGUGAAAGCCCACAGCUCACCUGCUCAGUAGCACCUGCCCCCAUAAAGCCCCACUGCAUUUGCUAUGGGCAAAGCAACUUUUUCUCC